UUAAAUACUAGUAAUAAAAAUAAUAAUUAUUAUUUAGUAAUUGACUGUUCUUAGUGUAAGUGACAAAGGACUUAAUAGCUGAUACUUGAGGUUUUAAGUUUGAAUUAUAGUUGAUUCACAUUUUCAGCUACGUUUAUUUCUAAAAGAAAUAAACGAAACGGUUAGUAUGUUGCUAUCUUUCUCUUUCAAAAAAAUAUUUAGUAAUAAUAAUAUUUAUUAUUAUUAAAUAUUAAUUUUUAAUUAUUAUUAUAUAUAACAAAAUUUAAUUAUUUUUAAAUAUUA
rnacentral:lncRNA from 1 species